rnacentral:misc_RNA from 1 species
UAUUUGCGUUAGGGAUAGCAGUGGAAAGCCCGGAGCGUAGCGAGGACUUGCAACGUAUAGCCCGGCCGUAG